GAAGGUAGCAUAAUCACUUGUUCUUUAAAUGAGGACUUGUAUCAACGGCACUACGAGGGCUAUACUGUCUCCUUUUUCUAAUCAGUGAAACUGAUCUCCCCGUGAAGAAGCGGGGAUCAAAAUAUAAGACGAGAAGACCCCAUGGAGCUUUAAACUCACUAUACACCUCUGUGCCUCGAUGCCAUAAAACACAAGAGAUCUGUAUACUAGUUUUAGGUUGGGGGGACCACGGAGUACAAUUUAACCUCCAUAACAAAUGGGCUAACACCCUUAUCCACGAGACACAACUCUAAGAAUUACUAAACUAAUGCUUACGACCCGAUAUUCGAUCAAUGAACCAAGUUACCCUGGGGAUAACAGCGCAAUCUACUUCAAGAGUCCAUAUCGACAAGUAGGUUUACGACCUCGAUGUUGGAUCAGG
rnacentral:rRNA from 1 species